rnacentral:lncRNA from 1 species
AGUUAACAAACUUAAAUCAUUAUAUUGAUAUUGUUCAUUGUAAAUACAUAUAUUUUACCAAUACCAAACUAGCUAAAAGGUAAAAAGAAAGAAACUUUUUUCUAACAAAAAUUCUAACUAAGAAAAUUUCUUCUGCAACAAAAAAACUAAAACUAAAACUACUAAACUAGGGAGAUAGAGGGGGGGGGGUGAUGUAGUCGCUGGCUUCCAGACUGAGCCUAUCCAGAAUUGCCUGUAUAAAAUGAUCGAUCCGACGUAGUUCACGUUCAAGAUAAAUAUGGUCCUGACCCAGUCCGUAGAACAGGUGAUCAAGGUCAUUGAGGAGGAGAAGAACAUUGUAGUGGCGAUGGGUACUCAUUCUCCUGAGUAAAAGAGAUGAACCGCAAUGAGCAAUGUUACCUUAAUAAAAGCUUUUUAAUUUCAAUGUUUGGGAGUCUCCUCCCAUUCUCUCAUGAAAUCACCAAAACCAAGAACAACCUCUGUAAUAGACGUCCUAGAAGUACACUAGACUCGAUUCUCAAUUCUGCUAGUGAUAUAUGUCUAUUCUAUGAAUGGUCAAUGAUUGGGUAAAUAUUCAUACAAAAUACUGAAAGUGAAAUAAUUAUUUCUAAUCAACGAUCGUUGGGUUUAUGGAAUAGAGAAACAAAGUUGGAGUCACUUGAGCUAUGGUAAUGUAUAUUCUAAAGAGGUUUUACAUAAUUUGAGCAAUUUCAAAGCUUUAUAACAAUGGUAAAAAGCGUGUUUUAGAAGAUAACAAAAAAAUUGGGAUAAUAAUGAAUACAAUGGAUAAGAUUAUGAUGUUUGUGGAUUGAUUUUUAGCUGAUCAUUGGAAAAAUAACCAAAAUCGUGCCUGAAAUGGAGAAUUUUAGAGGAAAAUGAGAGCUUCUAUUUUAAGCUUUUGAAUUUUUUUAAAUUAUUUUUGAAAGGAUAUUUUCAAUAUAAUUAUGGAUGAAGAAGAGGGUUAAAGUGUAUUAUUAAAAACUUGUGUGUUAGAUUUGUUAACUUGGAAAGAAGAGAUGAUGACAUCAUAUUUAGUGGGUAUUUGACAAAUUUUUCAAGACUUGUGUCUAAAUGACAAGCAAAGUUUUCAAAAAAGGAUAUUUGACAACUUACCCCAAGUCUUUGUCCUAUGUAAUAUAUCGGUUCAAUUCCUUCUAAAAAUUUUUAGACACUACUAAAAUAAUUGUUAGAACCGAUAUAAAAAAUCAACCUCACAUUAAAAAUGACUUGAAAAUCGAUCUCAACCGUAUAUCACAACAUGCUCAAUUGAUUUUCAAAACCAACUUUAUGAGGGCUCAAAUAUUGACCCCACAAGGUCUAUAGUCUUUGUCCGCAAAAUUCAUAAAUUUUGCAAAAUAUUAAUCAUAUCACCCUCAUGAGGUCAGUAUCUUAUGUUAUUAUUUUAUUUAUUUAUCUCAAUCUGGUGAGAUCGAUAUACUUAUUUAAUUAUUGAUUUUAAAAACAUUGACUUUUCAGGGUUAGUUUCAUAACUAAAUUUUUAUAUUUUAUGCCAUAUAGCGACUUAUUAAGGAUACAAAUAUUUUUUUUUUUAGAAAAUCAAAUCAUAUGUGGGUCAGAUUUUUUCAAUUUCUAGAAAAUGAAAAUGAAAAAAACUAACUUCAUGAUGUCAGUUUAAUUACUGAAAAAAAUUGACAGUAAAACACUAUUUUUUUCUCAGCUGGGGCACCUGCCAAUUAUUCAAUUCAAAUACUAUAAAAAUAGAUAAUAUAAAUAGUUAGACCAAGCUCACGAAGCUACCAAUAGUCUAUCAAACUACAAAUAUAUAUAUCACAAAUCAUCACACUCAUACUACAUCAAAUGCAACUCGAAACUAUUUCAAAAUUAAAUGAAAAGGUCAUACAUCAUAGUUAUAGAAUUCCACUUCAAAUUGCUUCUAGGUUCUCAUACAUUCACAAAACACUUAUGUAAUUCUUAUAUAAAUUACCAUAAAUAGCAUACGUUAGUAUCUACAAAUUUAAAGUUCCAUCAUGUGGCAGUGUGUUUGGCCGGAGCAUUUACUACCUCAUUAUUCUCCGUGAAGUAUUGUUUAAUUGAUGUUUCUAUAGUGCAUCUUGUCUUUGAUGCUUGCUACAAUCCUUUGUAUAUUUCAGGGGACUUGGAUGAAUCCUAGUGUCAUUUGGACUAUGAACAUAGUGUCCCAUUAAAAGACGUAGGGAAAAUGGUCAUUAUUUUUAGACCAGUUGUAAUCCUUAUUAUCUAACACAAUCAUUAUUUUUAGACCAGUUGUAAUCCCUAUUAUCUGAAGCUAUCCUAAGAGAAUUGAUGUUCUUAAAAGAUGAAAACUACUCCAAUAACUGUUCAUUGAUACAAGAAUAGUAUAAAUGUAAAGCCAGUGAUCUGGAUCCCUAAGUACAAAAUUUCUACAAACUCUAUAUCAUCUGCAGAGUGAGGUGUGAGUGCUUUGAGGACUUACCCAAAGAAAGUGAAACCAUCAUUGAAGGCGAUUAGGUAACAAUGGUCGGAAGUAUGUCGAUUAACUAUAUCCAGUGACCUUUGUAAGGUUUUAUAUUUAGUAUCAGAGGGAUCUAUUAUCUCUGCUUAAUGUAGAGUUACUUUUGAAGUAAAAAAUCAAAGUUAAGUGACUUUAUUAGAAAAGAGUUCUUAGUUGAAUGACCAUUUGAGAUAUUAACUUUGCUCCAACUCUUUAAUUAGAUAUUUAAAUUAACAAAUUUUAAAUUAUAGAUAUGCAUAAUCUGAUCGAGAUUGGACGAUGCCCCUUCCUAACCCUUUAUAUUGUGUCUCACACAAUAUUUGAUCAUCAAUAAUAGAUGAAAUGAACCUAGAAUAGAGAACUAAGUGUAAAUUUAUUUUAUAUUUCAAAUUUAGAUAUUUCUUAGCUGAAUCAAACAGGUGCAGGAAACUUAAGCUUAUGGCUAUCAUCUUCACAUGGUGCAAUCAAUGCCAAGAAGAUGGCCGUAAACUUAUUUGAUAGUAAUGUACUUUAUUACAAAUAAUAAAUUUUCAAAUGAUAGGUAUCUUCUAAUCAAUACAAUACUGCAUUAUACAUUUAUGCAUAAAACCAUUAAGUCAAUUGCUUUUCAUGCAUUGCAAUUAGUUUAUAAUCCCGUCAACUUAUGAAGCUGGAGGUGACUAUGAAUUAUUAAGUAGCUACUAUUAGACGUGUUACAAAAUUACAGUAUUCAUAAAAAUUAAUCAACCAAAAAGAGAGUAAAGUUGAAAGCAAAAUUGUUCAGAUUAUUAACUAUUCUCUCCGUCAUCUUUACUUGCCCAAAAGAAAAAUAAUCUAAAAAUAUUUACAGCAAAAUCAAAACAAAAGAGGAGAUAAUAUUAUUACAAAUUAAAAGAGAAGUUAGAACUAUGAAAUCAAACCUAAAGAUGUUUUUGAAAUUAUCCCAAAAUGACACCUUCCUCUUUGACAAUAAAAAAAUCCAAUUGAGAGUAAGAUAGCUGUUAAAUAAGAUUUUAGUUAUUUUAGUAGUAGUACAACUUGAUAAGCUCAACAUGCUACUGUUAUUAAUUCCAACGAGCACAAAAAUGAAAAGAAAGGAAGAGCAAAAAAAGCUGAAAUAAAAAUAAAAGUUCCAGGAUGCGCCUUGGUAAAAAGGUUCUCAACUUUUAGAGGUGUUAUCGUACUUAGAGAAAGAUGUUUAUUAGAGCUUGAGUGAGGAACCGAAACCUAUCUUCUUUAUUGAAAAGUAUGGUAUUUAGUAGUUCAUAGUCAAAACAGGUUUUAAUUAGGCUUGGGUUAGUUUUGGGUAGUGCAAUUAGUUUAUUAUAUCCUUGUAAUUUUUGGGUUAUAUAGUUGGUAUUUGGUUCUUUGAUAUUUGUAGCUCUGGGGUUGUGGUUCAGAAAGGUUUGUACUCUGUAUAUAUUUUCUAUGUAUUUCUGGGCGGUGUAGUUGUAUACUUUUUUAUCUUGGUUUAGGUCUAUUAACUCCUUUGCUUGUACGUGCAGAAGUAGAUUGAUAAAUGUUUAGGUCUAUUAUUUCUCUUCCAUUUGUAAAUUUAUAGCUCUAAUACCAUUUGUAGGGGGGUGCGCAGAUUUAAUAGAUCUAAUAGAUUGAUUAGGUUUCUAGUGAAUCUAUUUUUAUUUGUGCGUGGAUAUUUUUUAAUUUUUGUUUCAAUAUCUUUUAAUGAUUUACUUUUUUCGUAAGAUAUAUUCAUUAAUUAUUUUAUCCUGUAGUAAUUGCAGAGUUACAAAUUUCUGUAUAAUAAUUUAUCCUAUCUGUACUAUAAUGUAUAUCUAAUUCUAGAUUUUCAAUGUUAUUUAUUAUCUUGUGUUGUUCUUCUCGUAGUGAGUUUUUUAAAUUAUAUAAACUAUCACAUGUACUUUUAUCUAAAUUUUCUAAGGUUUUUUCUAUCCAUAUUAAUUUUUCUUUUAGGUCUUUCAUUAUUUGUCUAAUUCGGUUUCUAUAAUUAAUUUCAUUAUUUAGAUUUUCUUGAUUUUCUCUAGUUUGUCUAAUAUAUUCUAACAUAUCUUAAUCUGAAUAAUAUCCUUCUGGGUAAAUUUCUUCGUAUAACUGUUCUAGGUAAUUUAUAGUUUCAGUUUCGUAAUCUAUUACUUUUUCUAAUAUUAUUUUCUUAAUAUCUAUAAUUUCUAUAUUUUUAAGUAUAUAUAAGAUUAAUACUUUAAGAUAAUCUAAAUGAUCUAUCUUUUAAAAUUGGUUUUAUUAUAGUGUUUCGUAGUUGUUUGUUUUAGCCUUAGUAGUUCUUGCAUAUUUUUAUUAAGAAAUUCUAUGUAUUUUAUAUCUUUAUUUUCCAUGUAUUUGUCUAUAUUUAUUUUUAUCUGUUUUUCUAGUAACUGCAUAUUUUUUAUAUCUUUUUUCUAAAAAUUUUAUGUAACUUAUCAUCGUAAAUAUUUGUAAGAGUAGUUAGGUAGAUAUGGUAUAUAAUUUACUCUAGUCAUGUAAUAUUCACCAAAAGCUUUUUCUAAUAUGAUUUUUCUUAUAUCUGCUACUUUUAUAUUUCUAAGUGCAUACAAAAUAAGUAUUUUGAAUUUAUCUACCAUCACAUCAGAUAUAUUAUCAUUCAUUUUUCAUAAAUUUGCUUUUUUCAAAAUAUUCCCUUCAACCAUGUACAUAAAAUAUAGUCAUCUUAGCUUACUAUAUACUAGAUUAUUCUUAAAUAAUAUGUUCUUCCGUCACUAUUAACAUGGUAAUCCGGAUACUUUUUCCCUUAAACAGCGCCUCUACUCUGGUUACUCCCCGCCACGGCUUCUUGCCUCAUUGGUUUCACCUUUAGGAUGGCAUAGUCCUUAGGGAUAUUUCUCCGUUUCCUCUUUGUUAAUAAACUUCUUAACAUAUUAUUCUUCGAAUAAUUCUACUAUAAAGUAACUAAUAUGAAUUUAUUUUAUCAUAUCAUGAUUGUUGGGAAUUAUGAAAUUAGCUAUUCAUAAUUAUAAAUAGAUAUACCUGUUCCGGUAGCUUUGAUGUUUCUGAGUUUUGUUGUUCCAUAGCUUUUUCCAUUGGA